GCCGCGCCUAGCCCGACGGGGCGAAACCGGGUUCCCUGACCCGUUGGCACGGCUCCCGUUCAGGG
rnacentral:sRNA from 1 species